UCCUUGCAGGUUAUUAACAAGGUUUUAUUUGAAAUGCAUAUGCAGAACAAAGGUACAGAGCGAUAAGCUCGCAACCUGCACACCCCAGUAAGGGUGUGCCCACUUUUUAUACCCCUUAGAAUGCAUAGAGACGUGUUCACAUGUAAAACAUGUGAUUUCCACUAAUAGCAAUAAGAUGGGGCUUUGUUUCUUGUCUUACCCUCCUCCGUUUCAGCCUCCCCCUGCCUGGGGUUGCAAUCACACCCAUUCAGCCUUGCUCUUAUCUCUGCCCGCCUCAGCCAGACAUUCCAGAGAGAGAGAGAGAGGCCCAUUUUCACUGUAACAUCUUAGAGAGGAGGAAAAGCCUGGCUCUUCCGGCUGGUUGUAAAAGCCUCCAGGCUUGAAAGGAAGGGGUUUUGGGGAUAACAUAUGAGAGAGGAGAAAAUGUCUAAAAGAGUUUUUGGGAUCAUAGAGAGACCAAUAUUGUAAGGGCCCUUCACUAUGAUUCUGAGUUCCGGUGUGGAAGCUUUUCCCUCCUGGACAGCCCGCCUCGGUUGAGGGUUCGAAACCCCGCUCCGCCCCGCAACUCAGUGGCUGACCAGUCGCCAUCUCUGGGCCUCACCUGCCUCCCAGGUGUUGCGAGGAUGAAACGGGGAGGAGGAGAAGCAGGCGGAGCACCGGGAGCUCCCUGGCAGAUCAAGGGCGUCUGAAAGUGAAAUCAACCAGGGGAUCCCCCCCCUUGACGGCACCCCCCCCCCGCCCUGGGCAGGGCAGCGGCCCCUCCUCGCGCAAGCUGUGGGUCACCAGCAUCUUUCAAGGGGAGGGGGCGCCGGCGCGCAGCGGGAUCCUGAGGGUGGGCGCCGGAGAGCGAAAGGGCGAGUCCAGAUCUGGCUGGCCGGGGGGGCUCUUGCUGGCCCCGGGUCCGCCCCGCAGCGGCCUCCUCCUCCGGCGGGCAAGGGGGCGGGCAGGUGCCGCGGAGGCUUGUGGGCGUCGUAGUCCGGGGCUGCCCGCGGCGCGCAGCUGGGCCGGAGAAGCUCCCC